UACGAAGGGUGCAAGCGUUACUCGGAAUUACUGGGCGUAAAGCGUGCGUAGGUGGUGAGUUAAGUCUGUCGUGAAAGCCCCGGGCUCAACCCUGGGAAUGGCGAUGGAUACUGGCUCGCUAGAGUGCGGUAGAGGAGAGUGGAAUUCCCGGUGUAGCAGUGAAAUGCGUAGAGAUCGGGAGGAACAUCAGUUGCGAAGGCGGCUCUCUGGGACGGUACUGACGCUGAGACGCGAAAGCGUGGGGAGCGAACAGG
rnacentral:rRNA from 1 species